rnacentral:sRNA from 1 species
UCUGGGUGUGGUGGUGCUCACCUGUAAUCCCAGCAGCUCUGGAGGCUGAAGCAGGAGGAUUGCAAUUUCAAAGCCAACCUCAGCAAUUUAGUGAGACCCUGUUUGUA